ensembl:lncRNA
CUCGGGGCGCAGCCUGUGGCCCGGGUCCAGUCGGGCCCCGCCGACCCCGCCCGCCUGGCCCGCCCUCCCCUGCCGGCCGCCGCUAACACCCGGAGGAGCGGACUCCCGGCGCGCGGAGAGCCAGGCCGGCGCGGGCAGCGGACUGGGCAUGCUCGGCAGCCCGGAGGCUCGCGGUGGCAAGUCGGAAGCGUUCGCACCAGCGAGGCAGCGGCCGGGCGGCGGCGGCGGCCGCGGGCAGGACGGAGCGGGCAGGGCGGCCAGGAGAGGCAGCCGUCCCUCCGCGCACGGCGAGCCGGCGGGAGAGCGCGAUCCCGCUGCGGAGCCCCGACGCUGCCCUGCCCCGGAUUUCAGUGCGCGGCGUGGGGCUCGGCGAGCGGAAUUCCGGCGGCGGCCGCGACUCCGGUGCAACUGUCAGAGUAACGCACCAUGAGGGGAAAUUUGUCUCCGACUUAUCAAACUUUUGUCAAUUCACUGACCUCUCUCUAACUCCUGGACCCGCCACUUUCUUUGGUGAUGAGGGUGCAGUUGUGGAAAGUGGCCCCUCAUCCCAGCCUUGUGUGGUGUCUGAGAAAGAGACUAUGCAGAUAAUCUCAGGAGCAGAAGUGAGAUUGUUGCCUUCACACAGAUUUUUUUCCUGGUAUUCUGGCAUGCGACUCCUGCCUCACACAGCCGGUUGAGAGAAAAAUGGUCCUGAAGCCUUGACUCUAGAAGCAUAGCGUGGAGCGGUGUCAUUGGCUUUCAAGAUAACUAAGCUGUUUUCCAAAUGUCCGUCUGCAUCUCGACUUUCACUGCCUGCACACCAAUUUCAGCAUCUUCCCUGGAGAAGAAUGACAGAGGAGUCUGUGGACUGGUAGCCACGUAGAAAUACUUGUUCUCUCAGGCACCCCAGGUUCUAACAGUGAAUGUUGUUAAGUCCGUCAGCAUGCUCUGUGGACUCUGCUCUCUGCAAUAGACAGUGUUCGAAUUUUAUUCAGGCAGCCUUUUAAAAUAGGCAGUAACCAGCCAUUCCAUCCUGUCUUUGAACGUCUCAGUACAUCUUUGUCGUGGCAGAAGUACAUGGGUACUCAUGUAAGUCGUAAGUGCAGGACAAAAUCCCUUGGGUGUCAUGUCGUUUGUGUUUGGGUGGAAGAGGUUUUUAUUCUAAGAUUCAUCUGGAACGCUCACUGACUUUUGGAAAUCAGUCUUCCGAGACUAACAGUAAAUAUUUGAACGAUGUGCCUGGUUUGCGUUACCGAUGCUGCCGUGCUGGGUGGCGCGAUGCCCUGAUCACACAAGAGUUCAAGGAUGCCAGAAACAGCUGAAGAAGCAUUCUCCUCUUUGGCCUUCCAGAUCGAAACCCAAGAUUUUGGCCGAGUAUGGAAAUUGAAGACAGCUCCGGCAUAUCUUUUGAUGUAUAUGGUAAUGUAUAUUUUAUUUGUGUAGGCUUAAAGCCUAUUAUUUCUAAGAUAUGACUGAGAAUGUUCCAAAUCUAUAAUUUGCUUUGAAAGAGUAUAAACAUCUUUUGUUUUAAUUAUAGUAAAAUAUACGUAACAGAAAAUGGACCAUUCAUGGUGUUAAGUGGACUCACUUUGUUGAGCAACCAUCACCGCCGUCUGUCCAGCACCCCCUCAUCCUCACGAGCUGAGAUGCUGUCCACAUCAAGCACUAGCUCUCCGUUCCCCCGCCCCUCAGCCCUGGCACCCACUCUUAACUUUCUCCGUCUGUGAUUUUAUUUACUCUAGGGACCUCAUGUAAGUGGAACUGCACAGUACUUGUCCUUUUGGGCGUGGCUUAUUUCUAUCUUUAAAAAG